GUGAGGAAUAUUGCACAAUGGGCGAAAGCCUGAUGCAGCAACGCCGCGUGAGUGAUGAAGGCCUUUGGGUCGUAAAACUCUGUCCUUGGGGAAGAAAAAAAUGACGGUACCCUUGGAGGAAGCCCCGGCUAACUACGUGCCAGCAGCCGCGGUAAUACGUAGGGGGCAAGCGUUAUCCGGAAUUAUUGGGCGUAAAGAGUGCGUAGGUGGUUUUGUAAGCGUAGGGUGAAAGGCAGUAGCUCAACUAUUGUUAGCCCUGCGAACUGUGAGACUUGAGUGCAGGAGAGGAAAGUGGAAUUCCUAGUGUAGCGGUGAAAUGCGUAGAUAUUAGGAGGAACACCAGUGGCGAAGGCGACAUACUGGCUCAUUACUGACGCUGAGGCGCGAAAGCGUGGGGAGCAAACAGGAUUAGAAACCCCGGUAGUCC
rnacentral:rRNA from 1 species